UACGAAGGGGGCUAGCGUUGCUCGGAAUCACUGGGCGUAAAGCGCACGUAGGCGGAUUGUUAAGUCAGGGGUGAAAUCCUGGAGCUCAACUCCAGAACUGCCUUUGAUACUGACGGUCUUGAGUUCGGGAGAGGUGAGUGGAACUGCGAGUGUAGAGGUGAAAUUCGUAGAUAUUCGCAAGAACACCAGUGGCGAAGGCGGCUCACUGGCCCGAUACUGACGCUGAGGCACGAAAGCGUGGGGAGCAAACAGGG
rnacentral:rRNA from 1 species